rnacentral:snRNA from 1 species
GUGCUUGCUUCGGCAGCACAUAUACUAAAACUGGAACGAUACAGAGAAGAUUAGCAUGGCCCUUGCGCAAGGAUGACAUGCAAAUUCGUGAAGUGUUCCAUAGUUAA